rnacentral:rRNA from 1 species
UACGGAGGGUGCAAGCGUUGUCCGGAUUUAUUGGGCGUAAAGAGCUCGUAGGCGGCUUGUUGCGUCGUCCGUGAAAACCCGUGGCUCAACUGCGGGCUUGCGGUCGAUACGGGCAUGACUGGAGUUCGGUAGGGGAGACUGGAAUUCCUGGUGUAGCGGUGGAAUGCGCAGAUAUCAGGAGGAACACCGGUGGCGAAGGCGGGUCUCUGGGCAUUAACUGACGCUGAGGAGCGAAAGCAUGGGGAGCGAACAGG